rnacentral:rRNA from 1 species
UACGGGGGGGGUAAGCGUUGUUCGGAAUUACUGGGGGUAAAGGGCUCGUAGGCGGCCAACUAAGUCAGCCGUGAAAUCCCUCAGCUUAACUGGGGAACUGCGUCUGAUACUGGAUGGCUUGGAUUUGGGAGAGGGAUGCGGAAUUCCAGGUGUAGCGGUGAAAUGCGUAGAUAUCUGGAGGAACACCGGUGGCGAAGGCGGCAUCCUGGACCAACAUUGACGCUGAGGAGCGAAAGCCAGGGGAGCAAACGGG